rnacentral:rRNA from 1 species
AUUGAACGCUGGCGGCAGGCUUAACACAUGCAAGUCGAGCGGGGUGAUGGUGCUUGCACUAUCACUUAGCGGCGGACGGGUGAGUAAUGCUUAGGAAUCUGCCUAUUAGUGGGGGACAACAUCUCGAAAGGGAUGCUAAUACCGCAUACGUCCUACGGGAGAAAGAAGGGGAUCACUUGUGACCUUGCGCUAAUAGAUGAGCCUAAGUCGGAUUAGCUAGUUGGUGGGGUAAAGGCCUACCAAGGCGACGAUCUGUAGCGGGGCUGAGAGGAUGAUCCGCCACACUGGGACUGAGACACGGCCCAGACUCCUACGGGAGGCAGCAGUGGGGAAUAUUGGACAAUGGGGGGAACCCUGAUCCAGCCAUGCCGCGUGUGUGAAGAAGGCCUUAUGGUUGUAAAGCACUUUAAGCGAGGAGGAGGCUCUUUUGGUUAAUACCCAAGAUGAGUGGACGUUACUCGCAGAAUAAGCACCGGCUAACUCUGUGCCAGCAGCCGCGGUAA